GGAGGGUUGCGCCGAACGGCAAGGCACCAGUCUUGAAAACUGGGACCCCGAAAGGGGUUUGCAGGUUCGAGUCCUGCACCCUCCG
rnacentral:tRNA from 1 species